rnacentral:rRNA from 1 species
ACUCAAAGGAAUUGACGGGGGCCCGCACAAGCGGUGGAGCAUGUGGUUCAAUUCGACGCAACGCGAAGAACCUUACCCAGGCUCGAACGGCGAGUGACAUCCGGCGAAAGUCGGCUUCCGCAAGGACACUUGUCGAGGUGCUGCAUGGCUGUCGUCAGCUCGUGUCGUGAGAUGUUGGGUUAAGUCCCGCAACGAGCGCAACCCUUGUCCUCUGUUGCCAUCACGUUAUGGUGGGCACUCUGAGGAGACUGCCGGUGACAAACCGGAGGAAGGUGGGGAUGACGUCAAGUCCGCAUGGCCUUUAUGUCUGGGGCCACACACGUGCUACAAUGGCCGACACAAACCGUCGCGAUACCGCAAGGUGGAGCUAAUCGGAUAAAGUCGGUCUCAGUUCGGAUUGCAGGCUGCAACUCGCCUGCAUGAAGUUGGAAUCGCUAGUAAUCGCGGAUCAGCACGCCGCGGUGAAUACGUUCCCGGGCCUUGUACACACCGCCCGU